ensembl:lncRNA
GGUGUGCCGCGGUCAGUUGAAGAAUCCGCGACUUUCUCUGUGAGUUUCCCAUUACGUCGUUGCGCACUCGGUGCUUGCUUGGAAGUUUAGGGGUUUUUUUCGCUGUAAAAAGAAGUUUUCUUCCCACUCACGAUGGACGCUAAUGUUUUUGUCACUUUUUAUGGAAUCAAACUCAAAGUAAGAGACUGUUCCUCUGCCUCUCUGUGCCCCCUGUUCUCAGGGUGACUGCGGUCCAGACAUCCCCUGCACCUGUAUCAGUUUCUCGAGUGAGGGGGCCCAGGGCCCGGUUGGUUCCUGCUCCGGUUUCCAGGCCAGCUGAGGCUCUGCUAGUCUCUACACCUGUACCAGCUGGGGACAGCAGCUGCGCAGCCAUUGCCAGUGCCUGUUCCGGCUCCCAGGGUGAGGGUGGCCAUUAACCAGUUACCUCCUGCACCCAUAACCACCCCUCGGGUGGCAGUGACUGGUGCCCAGUUUGCCCCGGCACCCAUACAGGUCCCCAGGGUGAGGCCAACCAGGAAACAGCCCACCUCUGCACCAGUACCUGCUCCUCGGGUGGGAGCAGCUGGUGUCCAGCAGGUGCCUGCACCCAUUCCGGCCGUUUCCUUUGUUUUCUUAGGAGAACAAGUAAAGCCGCCUGCUAAUCCACCACUUCAUUAGGGCUGCUCGAUUAUGGCAAAAAUGAUAAUCACGAUUAUUUUCACUGAAAUUGAGAUCACGAUUAUUUGACGAUAUUUAUUUAACCCUUUAAGACCUACUAUAGAACCAAGUCCGCCAGAGCUUAUAUUAUUUUUUUUACAUGUUGUAGUGCCAUUUGUGGGAGCAUUUCAAGUUGCUAUACAUCAAUACAACUGUUAUAGCCCAUAUUUUAAUAAUAUGUAUGCAUUAAGUCCAUAGUAAUUACAUAAAUUGCAAAAAAGUGCAAUAAACUACAAAAAAAAUUGAAAAUCGCUUUUGUUUUGUUUACAUAUAUUUCUACUUGGAGAAAUUUAAGAGGUUUAUCCCUCAAAACUUUAAGUUGCAAAAAAUAGUUUACAACAACAGGAAAUUUAUUUUGAGUGUC